rnacentral:rRNA from 1 species
AUUGAACGCUGGCGGCAGGCCUAACACAUGCAAGUCGAACGGUAACAGGAAGAAGCUUGCUUCUUUGCUGACGAGUGGCGGACGGGUGAGUAAUGUCUGGGAAACUGCCUGAUGGAGGGGGAUAACUACUGGAAACGGUAGCUAAUACCGCAUAACGUCGCAAGACCAAAGAGGGGGACCUUCGGGCCUUUUGCCAUCGGAUGUGCCCAGAUGGGAUUAGCUAGUAGGUGGGGUAACGGCUCACCUAGGCGACGAUCCCUAGCUGGUCUGAGAGGAUGACCAGCCACACUGGAACUGAGACACGGUCCAGACUCCUACGGGAGGCAGCAGUGGGGAAUAUUGCACAAUGAGCGCAAGCCUGAUGCAGCCAUGCCGCGUGUAUGAAGAAGGCCUUCGGGUUGUAAAGUACUUUCAGCGGGGAGGAAGGGGGUAAAGUUAAUACCUUUGCUCAUUGACGUUACCCGCAGAAGAAGCACCGGCUAACUCCGUG